rnacentral:rRNA from 1 species
ACGGAGGGUGCGAGCGUUGUCCGGAAUCACUGGGCGUAAAGCGCACGUAGGCGGAUUGCUAAGUCAGGGGUGAAAUCCUGGAGCUCAACUCCAGAACUGCCUUUGAUACUGGUGAUCUUGAGUCCGGGAGAGGUGAGUGGAACUGCGAGUGUAGAGGUGAAAUUCGUAGAUAUUCGCAAGAACACCAGUGGCGAAGGCGGCUCACUGGCCCGGUACUGACGCUGAGGUGCGAAAGCGUGGGGAGCAAACAGGA